rnacentral:rRNA from 1 species
UACGUAGGGUGCGAGCGUUGUCCGGAAUUAUUGGGCGUAAAGAGCUUGUAGGCGGUUUGUCGCGUCUGCUGUGAAAUCUCAAGGCUCAACCCUGAGCUUGCAGUGGGUACGGGCAGACUAGAGUGUGGUAGGGGAGACUGGAAUUCCUGGUGUAGCGGUGAAAUGCGCAGAUAUCAGGAGGAACACCGAUGGCGAAGGCAGGUCUCUGGGCCACUACUGACGCUGAGAAGCGAAAGCAUGGGGAGCGAACAGG